rnacentral:rRNA from 1 species
AUGGAGAUGGGUGUGCAGGUCAUCGACGUGGGGUUGCUGCGCGCGUAUGCCGAGGUGAUCAUCACGGGCGACGACUCGAGGAGGCCGACGAACAGGACGCCCUUGGACCGGCAUGGCAGGGGAGGCUAUGUAUCACACGUUGCUCUAGUUGCCAUGUAUCCUGGAUGCCGCCGACCACGGGGGCUCUGGCUGCACGUGUUUCCCGGCCGCCUCCGAGCAGGAGGGCUCUCGCGAUGUGUUGCUUUGUAUCCCGGCCACCGCGGACAGUGA